rnacentral:rRNA from 1 species
UACGUAGGGUGCAAGCGUUUGUCCGGAAUUAUUGGGCGUAAAGAGCUCGUAGGCGGUCUGUCGCGUCGGCUGUGAAAUCCCGAGGCUCAACCUCGGGUCUGCAGUCGAUACGGGCAGGCUAGAGUUCGGCAGGGGAGACUGGAAUUCCUGGUGUAGCGGUGAAAUGCGCAGAUAUCAGGAGGAACACCUGUGGUGUAGACGGCUUUCUGGACCGUAGCUGACGCUGAGACACGAAAAGCGUGGGUAGCAAACAGG